CUUACUUUGGGUUCAAAGGUAUAAGUAAAUAGUGUAUUAUGUACACACCUUCAUAACACCUUCAUAUCUUCUAAGCAACACUUUGAAGUCCAGACUGAAGUUGGGGCGAGAGCUAUAUAGGUUAGCUAUUUAGCUAGGGCUUCAUUGGGGAGGAUCUGAACGUUGAAAUGUUUAAUGGACAUUCAAACACCUCAAGAUUUGAAGAGGCGCCUUGGGUCCAAACAUAAAUUAUGCUUGAUGAAUGUGGAGGUGGGUUUCUUUCAAAUUUCCCAUUUAUUUACCUAGUAAAUUUGUUGUGGAUACAUGUGGGCAUGCCCAUUGCAUAGUAAGUGGCAGUAAACAACAUCAAUUCAAGGCUAGGUGAGUUGUGGUGGGGUAUACUUGGAAUCCUGGUUAUUCAUUAAAAAAGCUCAAUUCUUGGACAUGUACGGUGCAUAUUGAUUAUAGAGAGUUUGAAAUGCAUUCCAAAAAGCUUGGGGUGGAUGCACAUUAUCUCGCACAAAAUAAUAUAUUUUGAGUACUUUA